AAGAGGCUGCCGAAGAUGGCGGAGGUGCAGGUCCUGGUGCUUGAUGGUCGAGGCCAUCUCCUGGGCCGCCUGGCGGCCAUCGUGGCUAAACAGGUACUGCUGGGCCGGAAGGUGGUGGUCGUACGCUGUGAAGGCAUCAACAUUUCUGGCAAUUUCUACAGAAACAAGUGUAAGUUAGGACCUGGGAGGAACACUGGAGAGGGUCUCCCUGUGGGGUGUUGAGGCUCUGAAAGCAAUUGCAGCCGUGUUGGGAGAGGCUACUUGGGGUUUCUGAGAAGGCCCUUGGAAGUGGGGUUUUGAGGGUGCUGGUAGACUGGGCAGGCCUCACACUCUCCCCUCUCCCUAGUGAAGUACCUGGCUUUCCUCCGCAAGCGGAUGAACACCAACCCUUCCCGAGGCCCCUACCACUUCCGGGCCCCCAGCCGCAUCUUCUGGCGGACCGUGCGAGGUAUGCUGCCCCACAAAACCAAGCGAGGCCAGGCCGCUCUGGACCGUCUCAAGGUGUUUGACGGCAUCCCACCGCCCUACGACAAGAAAAAGCGGAUGGUGGUUCCUGCUGCCCUCAAGGUCGUGCGUCUGAAGCCUACAAGAAAGUUUGCCUAUCUGGGGCGCCUGGCUCACGAGGUUGGCUGGAAGUACCAGGCAGUGACAGCCACCCUGGAGGAGAAGAGGAAAGAGAAAGCCAAGAUCCACUACCGGAAGAAGAAACAGCUCAUGAGGCUACGGAAACAGGCCGAGAAGAACGUGGAGAAGAAAAUUGACAAAUACACAGAGGUCCUCAAGACCCACGGACUCCUGGUCUGAGCCCAAUAAAGACUGUUAAUUCCUCAUGCGUUGCCUGCCCUUCCUC
rnacentral:sRNA from 1 species